UAACACCUUUGUGGGUGCCAUGGGCAGGGGGAUCCAGGGCACCCUCAGCACAGCGAGCUGUGAGCUGCAGUGCCCCAGGGAGAGAAGGACAGCAUCCAGAGGGACUGGGCAGGUCUGGGAGGGAGCAUCUCCUCACUGGCAGGAUGUGAAAGCAUAAUCCAGCUGAGCACCGCUAGAUGCAGUUUAAGAGCAUGUUUGUCUUGCUGAAUGAAGAUAGCUGAGUAUUCCCACUGGGAAAGCAACUCAACUCCUGGAGCUCGCCCUGAAGCUGGCAGCAAAAGCCAGAUGGAAGAACAAGUUUGCUGUUUGCAUCAGAGAGAUUUCUGCCCUCCAGAACACCUGGCUGCAAUGCAACAUGAACCUGUCAUCAGUGCACGACGAUGGACUUCAACACAGACAUUUCCAUCUGAAACCAGCUGCAGGAGUCACAGAAGGGCUGGGAGUUUGUGUGCACUGGUGCAGCUGUUUGGAAUAGAGGAUGGAUGUUGGGCAGUGUUACAGGGAUAAUGCAUUUCUUGUCUUUAUAUAAUUUUUUGUCUACUGAUGACAAUAAGAAGAAAGGAAAAAAAUCCCCUGAAACAAACAAAUACCCCCCAACCACUCAUUCCACUCAGCUCUAAAAAUAGCACAUGCAAUGAGUAGAGGCAUUUGUUCAUUAACUUCCUUUUCAUCUGGUACAAUCUUCUCCCUUUGAUAUUGAAAUGUGGAUGAAUUUAUCAUCACUAACGUAGUUUUAAAGAACAGAAGAAAUAGUAGAGAAUAUUCUGAUGUUUAUCAUGUUUUAAAUACAAGGAUGAUCACUAAGGUGUCACUGAUGCCUUUUCACCCUUUCAUGUUUUGAGAGAAGACCCUCUAGAGCAGAAAGGUAAUUAAUUUCCAGGCUCUAUCAGUCCUCACUUUCUUGUUGAAUUUCCACAGAGACAAUACACUGUGAUGCUGUUAUGCUGUUGUUAUGACAUGAAUUUCUUCCACUAGUAGCUAUACUGAGAGAACAAACUUAUUUCACACAGGCCAUCAAUCAGUCUUUAGAGAGCAAAACCUCACGGUUACUGCUUUGCCAGUCUGGCCUGUAAGUAGUGAUUUAAGGAAAAGAUGUGGAAUAAUGUUACCAGCUCCCUGGGCCAGCCAAACUUCCAUUGAAAACAAGCAGAAAAUAUUUCCUAUGAAAAAGCAUUGAUCAAGGAUUCAGCAGAGCUAGUUUUCUCAUGUGUCAGUUAGCCACAUAGUAAUUCUUAUUUAUCUUAUCCAUUUACAGGAGCAGCCAUUCACACAUUUCUAUCAGCAACAGCAUUACAAGAUAUAAGUAAGCUAAGCCUGAUAUUUUCCAGAGGAUGUGGGGAAGAGAAGGUUGUUUACUAGACUUUGGUAUUGAUAAAGACAUAUUCCCAAUAUUCUAUUUUAGUCUUAUGGGAUGCUUAACCAUCUGUCGAAGCACAAGCUGAUGCAACACAAGUGAUUAAAAAAAGAGAAAAUCCUAUUUGCAGAAUCAGAAGCUUUAACAAUGUUUUGGAUCACUGCAUUUCCAUCACACUAUAAAUCCUGUGUUUCUAUAAUGAAGAAGGCUAUUGGCAGGACUGAACAAUAUACAAAUCCAGGCAAGCAGAUGGGGUGCAGCUGAAGGUCCCAAGGAAGCAGACUUUCAUAGGGUGUGGUGCUCAGGGACUUCCAUAUGACUGGAGAAAGGCAUAUAACCCAUUUCUAAGAAAAAGGAGAAAGUUAUAGGAAAAAUCAAUCUGUGGGAAAAUUAUGCAGCAAGACUUCCUCAAACCCAUUUCUAAUCACAAGGAGAGAAACAAGAAAAAUGACAAAGUCCAGCUGGUGGCUAGUUGCUGGUGGGAUCUCUCAGGGAUUGAUGCUUCAAUACCAGGCCCAACAUUUCUCAGGUUUUUUUAAUAACAGCCUGCAUGGCGAGCAAGGGAACACCCAGUUUGCAGAUGGUACAGAAAUGGGAGUAGUGGCUGAUAUAUGGGGGUUAUUACCUCCUGUUUGCCACUUGUGAGACUUCAGCUGGAAUAUUUUGUCCAGAGCUGAGCUUGUCAGACAGUGACACAACGGAAUGAGUGCAGCACAGCCAAGAUGAUCAGGGGUCUGAAGCACAAAAUUAUGAGUUUGUUUAACCUUAAGAAUACAUGAGCAUGGAAGCACUUGCACCUGGCAGCACUUGUCCCAGUAUUCAGCUUUCAAAGUGUGUUUUCGUUAUUAAACCUGUAGGGUCUUGUCUGGCUAUGAGCUAUUUUAGUAUCCACAGCAGCAUUCUGCCCAUCAAGAAAAACUUCACAUCAAGGAGGAAGAGCAGCAGUUGCAUUCUGAGGGCAAGUACUCAAAACAGUAAGAAAUGGUCAUCUUUAUACUAACUGCAUCAAGAAUAUUCCUCUUACUGCAACUAAUAAUAGAAGCAUAUCCUCUGAAUAUGCUAUACCUUAAAUUGCAAUAAAUUAUUAGUAAAAUGCUAUUCAGCAAAUCUAGAAUGUUGCAUGUCAGUCUUCACAGUUUCUAAUAAAAGUGGACAUUAUCAGGAACAGACAUUAUUGCUUUUUAAGUAGAAUUGUGCAUAACAUUGUUUAACAGACACAGGAUGAUGAUUAUUAUAGGUUAGGCAGGCUAAGCUAAAUCUCUGUUCCUGCUGCUUCAAUGCCAAUUUCCUUUAGACCCCUUAUUGCAAGAGCUUUAACACAAGCAGUACCACAUAAUCAGCAGCUAUGCCCUCUCUUAUACCCAAAGAGAUCCAGGUGCUGGCACUGAAGCACAAAGAUGUUGCAAGUGCACAUAUUUUAGCCCUUUCACAGAGGCACAAAUGCAAUGGGCUUACUCAGAAGGGACCUCCUGAGUGUGCCCAGCAUUCAGCACCCCUCUCUGUCCCGAGGCUCUGCAGGGAGCACAGGGACCCCAGCACUUGCCCACCUGCCCUCAUUACCUCCUGUCUGUCACCAGUUCAAGCUUCUCUCACAUUAUGAAGAUUUUUUUAUUUCAUUCUUAGGGGCACUGCAGGCAAAACUACAAAGGGCAGGGCUAUCAAUGCAUAAGCCUUACAGGAAGCAGUGCAUAACUAGAGGUGAGGCUGAAAUGUGUAACUAAAAGGGACACAUUCCUGUAAUAUAGAAGAUAUUUGCCCACUUCCUCUUAUUGGGAACAGAAGCCUAACCAGAUAACAAAGACCAUUGUAUAAAAUUGGCUCUUAUGGUAUUCUAUAUUUAAGAUUUCUCCCUAAAAAUCUAUCUUUAAAAAAAAAUCUUGGAUACUAUCUGAGCUCUAAUUUUAAACUUUAUAUGAUCCCAAAUACAGACCACCUCAAAAUGUCUUAUUACUUAAAUUGGGCCACUGCCACAGAAAGCUUUCCUGUAGAUAGAGAACAGAAAAGAUAUUUCCUCUGUUUAGCAGAAGUUUUUACUCAUUUAAAAAUAGGUCUUUGCUUCUGAAUAAUCUCAGGAAAUAAAUAUUCAUAAGAAACCCCCACAUUAAUUCUGUAGGAAAAUGGAAAUCAUCCAUAUCUAAUAUGUGCAGCUGAUUUUGGAUAUUGUAAAUCAAUUUUUAUUAAAAA